GGUAUUUUGACUAUACAAAGGUAUUGAAAUAAGACUUUAAUUGAGUGCUAAGAGAAUGGAAUUACAGGAAAAAUCUUUUUUAAACUUAACAAUUAAAGUUAUUUUUACUUGUGAAGAAACAGUAAUAAAAAUUAAGGACAAGAAGACCCUAAGAAUUUUUAGAAACAUAUUUCAAUAAAGAAGAUAUGUUUCUUUAAUUGGGGCGAUUAAUUAAUAUUAAAAACUUUUUUAAAAAAACAUGAACCGUUUAAUAGCGGUAAAUUGGUAAAAAUACUCUAGGGAUAACAGCGUAAUAAUUUUCGAUAGUUCAUAUUGACAAAAUAGUUUGCGACCUCGAUGUUGGAUUAGGAUAUUUUUUUGAUGAAGAAGUUAAAAAAAAAAGUUUGUUCAACUUUUAAUUUCCU
rnacentral:rRNA from 2 species